rnacentral:rRNA from 1 species
GUUGCUGAAGCUAGUAAUAGUGGCGUACGGGUGAGUAACGCGUGGGUAAUCUACCUUCGAAUUGGGGAUAACGUUGCGAAAGUGACGCUAAUACCGAAUAAUAUCAUAGAGACGUUGGUUUUUAUGAUCAAAGAUGGCCUCUCCUUGGAAGCUAUUGUUUGGAGAUGAGCCCGCGUCCCAUUAGCUUGUUGGUGGGGUAAUGGCCUACCAAGGCAACGAUGGGUAGCUGGUCUGAGAGGAUGAUCAGCCACACUGGAACUGACACACGGUCCAGACUCCUACGGGAGGCAGCAGUGAGGAAUUUUGCGCAAUGGGGGAGACCCUGACGCAGCAACGCCGCGUGAGUGAUGAAGGCUUUCGGGUCGUAAAGCUCUGUCAAGUGGGAAGAACUCCCGUGAGGUUAAUACCCUCAUGGUUUGACGGUACCACUGAAGGAAGCACCGGCUAACUCCGUGCCAGCAGCCGCGGUAAUACGGGGGGUGCAAGCGUUAUUCGGAUCUACUGGGCGUAAAGCGCGCGUAGGCGGCCGUUUAAGUCAGAUGUGGAAGCCCGGGGCUCAACCCCGGAAGUACAUUUGAUACUAUUCGGCUUGAGUAUGGGAGAGGGAAGUGGAAUUCUGGUGUAGAGGUGAAAUUCGUAGAUAUCAGGAGGAACACCGGUGGCGAAGGCGACUUCCUGGACCAAUACUGACCU